rnacentral:snRNA from 1 species
GGAUGUGAGGGCGAUCUGGCUGCGACAUCUGUCACCCCAUUGAUCGCCAGGGUUGAUUCGGCUGAUCUGGCUGGCUAGGCGGGUGUCCCCUUCCUCCCUCACCGCCCCAUGUGCGUCCCUCCCGAAGCUGCGUGCUCGGUCGAAGAGGACGACCUUCCCCGAAUAGAGGAGGACCGGUCUUUGGUCAAGAAUAUACGAGUAGCUGCGCUCCCCUGCUAGAACCUCCAAACAAGCUCUCAAGAACCCCUAGAAGAAAAUAUGCCUGUGUUAGCCAAUCAUGAGGCCCAAGAAAAGGGAGCUAUGGGAGAAAUAACUGCAAUGCUCU